CAACCGUUUCCAUUCCCGCGAAUGCGGAUAACUUUAACCAGUCGACAGCUGAAAUUCCUCAUCUACCCCUGGUGGGGCCAAACUUUUUUCACAAGACCCCACAUGACCUGAUUUUAAUCAGAAGCGUUGGAUUCUCGAAACGAGAUCCUUGCCGUCCGAUCUUCCCCAACAAAAUUAUCAUAAACUUGUUCAGACUUCCAUUCUCUAGGGUCUGUUUUUUCGGCUAUCUGCUCUUCUUUGAUCCAUCAUCUAGGCCACCCAGAGCAGCUAAAAUGAAAGAUUUAUUAUGGAGAGUAGGGCAAAGGAAUAUGAGGUGUGAACAGACAUUGAAAUCAUCACUUGGCCUUACUGCUCUUAUUAUGUCUUCUUGAAAAGAACUUCAUCUUCUGUAACAUCAUGCAGGUUAUUGUAAGAGGAAAUUAAGCUUAGGACUCAGCGUCCAUGAACCAUCAACUCUUAAGGAUGGUUCAUGCACGAUUUCAUCUGGUCAUCGUCUUCCUGUUAAAAUAAGGACCAGUUUCUCUCUUUUCUUUAAUGAACGUUUUGUUCAAUUUUUCAACUUUUUAUAUUGCUUGUUCUCUUUUAAUUGGUUUCUUACUCUAUUUCUUAUGUUAUCUUUGUAAAGUGUUCUUGGUAUCUCGGUGAAGAUCAUAUAUACUUGAUUAUUGGGAUGAUGGGAUCCCAAGGGUAAGCAAGUACCUGCUACUUUGCUACCAGAUUGUAUCAUCGUCCACCUGCUCAAGGGGGAAGAAGAUUACCCCAUGUGACCGCAUUGCUGCCGACUCACAUAGGGGUUACCAGCAGCUUAAGUUGUAGGUUUUUUGAGGUUAGCGAGCACAAAGGAAACAAAGAUGCAGGAUGGUGGUGUUUUCCUCUAGAAUCCGAAAGGGUGUUGAAGCCGGCCCUUCAAGUCUAGUGGCAUUGCUGGAUGAAUAGAUGUAAAGAGUGUACUGUCUGUCUUUUGUUCAAUAAUUAAAGUUCUUUGAUUGAUAUGCUUACUUGAAGAAUUUGGCGUUUCAUUUUAUGUUGUU